GUGAGGAAUAUUGGUCAAUGGGCGGUAGCCUGAACCAGCCAAGUAGCGUGAAGGAUGAAGGUUCUAUGGAUUGUAAACUUCUUUUAUAAAGGAAUAAAGUGAGGCACGUGUGCCUUUUUGUAUGUACUUUAUGAAUAAGGAUCGGCUAACUCCGUGCCAGCAGCCGCGGUAAUACGGAGGAUCCGAGCGUUAUCCGGAUUUAUUGGGUUUAAAGGGAGCGUAGAUGGGUUGUUAAGUCAGUUGUGAAAGUUUGCGGCUCAACCGUAAAAUUGCAAUUGAUACUGGCGUCCUUGAGUACAGUUGAGGUGGGCGGAAUUCGUGGUGUAGCGGUGAAAUGCUUAGAUAUCACGAAGAACUCCUAUUGCGAAGGCAGCUCACUAAACUGCAACUGACAUUGAGGCUCGAAAGUGUGGGUAUCAAACAGGAUUAGAAACCCCAGUAGUCC
rnacentral:rRNA from 1 species